rnacentral:lncRNA from 1 species
AAUAGGGGGCAAAGGGAAGAGGCAAUUUUAAAGCCAGUAAAUUCCAGUGGAAGGUUCCUCACUCCCUCUGAGCAGGAAUAUCCUGGGUGCUGCUGUGGAGAUGGGGCUGCCUUCAAAUAGCACAGGAAAAUGACAAUAAUCUACUGAAAAAGAUUUGAAAAAGAUGACUAAAUGUACUAAAAAUGCAGUGCUGGUCUGAUUCAGUCUUACAGUUUUGAUGUCUCAAACAAAUGUCAGCAUCUUUACAAGGAGAACAUUGACAAGUGAAUGAGACAAGCAAGUGGGCUGGAGAAGAAUCUGUCUCCAAUAUUCUGAUGGACUUCGAGGACCUGUGUCUGGAGACAGGAGAUCUGCUGCAGGAUGGGAGAUACAGUAUCUGAAUGCUGCUGCUGCAUUAAUGUGUGAGAAUUUAAACGGAGCUUUUCUGUCUCAUCCCUGGGAGCUGCCUGCACAGGAGAGGUCUCGCCUCGUGCCUUCCCCCUCUCUGUUCUUUCUGCUCUUGGAUGAGAAAUGA